GAAAGGGCUGUGGCUCAGUGGAAAAGUAUCUGCUUUGCAUGCAGAAGGUCCCAGGUUCUAUUUCUGGCAUCUUCA